rnacentral:rRNA from 1 species
CCUACGGGAGGCAGCAGUGAGGAAUAUUGGUCAAUGGACGAGAGUCUGAACCAGCCAAGUAGCGUGAAGGAUGACUGCCCUAUGGGUUGUAAACUUCUUUUAUAUGGGAAUAAAAUGUUCCACGUGUGGGAUUUUGUAUGUACCAUAUGAAUAAGGAUCGGCUAACUCCGCGCCAGCAGCCGCGGUAAUACGGAGGAUCCGAGCGUUAUCCGGAUUUAUUGGGUUUAGAGGGAGCGUAGGUGGAUUGGUAAGUCAGUUGUGAAAGUUUGCGGCUCAACCGUAAAAUUGCAGUUGAAACUGGCAGUCUAGAGUACAGGAGAGGUGAGCGGAAUUCGUGGUGUAGCGGUGAAAUGCUUAGAUAUCACGAAGAACUCCGGUUGCGAAGGCAGCUCACUGGACUGCAACUGACACUGAGGCUCGAAAGUGUGGGUAUCAAACAGGAUUAGAUACCCGGGUAGUC